rnacentral:rRNA from 1 species
GACGAUAUCUGAGACACGAUAUCGGGCCCUACGGGGCGCAGCAGGCGCGAAAACUUCACACUGUGCGAAAGCGCGAUGAGGGAAUCCCAAGUGUUUGCUCGUAAGAGUAAACUGUUUCUUUGUUUAAAACGCAGAGAGAGUAAGGGCUGGGUAAGACGGGUGCCAGCCGCCGCGGUAAUACCUGCAGCUCAAGUGGUGAUCAUUAUUAUUGGGCCUAAAACGUCCGUAGCCGGUUUAGUAAAUGCCUGGGUAAAUCGUGUAGCUUAACUAUACGACUUCCGGGUAGACUGCUAAACUUGAGACCGGGUGAGGCUAGAGGUACUCCUGGGGUAGAGGUGAAAUUCUGUAAUCCUAGGGGGACCACCAGUGGCGAAGGCGUCUAGCUAGAACGGGUCUGACGGUGAGGGACGAAGCCCUGGGGCACAAACCGGAUUAGAUANCCCGGGUAGUCCAGGGUGUAAACGCUGCUUGCUUGAUGUUAGUUGGGCUCCGAGCCCAACUAGUGUCGGAGAGAAGUUGUUAAGCAAGCUGCCUGGGAAGUACGGUCGCAAGGCUGAAACUUAAAGGAAUUGGNCGGGGGAGCAC